UUUGGCAUAUUUAGAUUUCCUAUUCUUUGGCAUAUUUAGAUUUCCUAUUCUUUGGCAUAUUUAGAUUUCCUAUUCUUUUGCAUAUUUAGAUUUCCUAGUCUUUGGCAUAUAUAGAUUUCCUAGUCUUUAGCAUAUUUGGAUAUCCUAUUCUUAAACAUUAGGUUUUCUUUAAUGUAGCAUACAUUGGAUAUUGUAUACUGCAGCAUAUUUGAGUUUCCUACAC
rnacentral:lncRNA from 1 species